AUGUCCUGCUCCUGCAAAUGCAGUUCCCCUCACCAGAACUGUGGUGGGGGGGACCCUGGAGCGGACGCAGAUCAAUUUGCCUCUCAGGUUAGGAGGGCUGCCCUAAGAGAUGUGCAUGCCCUUAAAGGCAGGAGAGAACAUG
rnacentral:snoRNA from 1 species